rnacentral:rRNA from 1 species
AUUGAACGCUGGCGGAAUGCUUUACACAUGCAAGUCGAACGGCAGCACGGACUUCGGUCUGGUGGCGAGUGGCGAACGGGUGAGUAAUGUAUCGGAACGUGCCCAGUCGUGGGGGAUAACGUAGUGAAAAUUACGCUAAUACCGCAUACGAGCUAUGGAUGAAAGCGGGGGAUCGCAAGACCUCGCGCGAGUGGAGCGGCUGAUAUCAGAUUAGGUAGUUGGUGGGGUAAAGGUCCACCAAGCCAACGAUCUGUAGCUGGUCUGAGGGGACGACCAGCCACACUGGAACUGAGACACGGUCCAGACUCCUACGGGAGGCAGCAGUGGGGAAUUUUGGACAAUGGGCGAAAGCCUGAUCCAGCCAUUCCGCGUGCAGGAUGAAGGCCCUCGGGUUGUAAACUGCUUUUGUACAGAACGAAAAGGUUUCUACUAAUACUAGGAGCUCAUGACGGUACUGUAAGAAUAAGCACCGGCUAACUACGUGCCAGCAGCCGCAGUAA